GAUUUGAUGUACUGCUCUCUGCCAGAUGGGUCAAAUGUUCUGGGUGGUUCUAAUAGAUGCACAUUUCUUCAUUAAGCAAACAUUUUUGUCUAUAUUAACCUGCACUAUGGUGUGGUUAAUGGGUGAUAGAAUUGCCUGUCUGAGAAGUUACAAGUUGAGAGGGGAUCAAUCCCUUAGAAGGUUUCAUCUGAGGGGCCUACAUCCAUCUCUUUUGCUCCACCCCUUUAUAUUUCAGCUUAAGCUACCAUGGUAGAGACAGAUCCAGGUACCAGUGACAUGGGUUUAAAUGAAGCUUUUUUAGACUUGCUGUGAGCUGGUGAUUUGAAUGGAUGAUCCCCAUCUGGAGUACUUGAUACACUUGGUGCAUCAUCUGACAUCCCUGAAGCAGAUUUGGGGCGUGACGGAAG